CUUGCUUUCUUUGCUGGCGACCGGCGCACGGGUGAGUAACACGUAUCCAACCUGCCCUUUACUCGGGGAUAGCCUUUCGAAAGAAAGAUUAAUACCCGAUAGCAUAAUGAUUCCGCACGGUUUCAUUAUUAAAGGAUUCCGGUAAAGGAUGGGGAUGCGUUCCAUUAGGUUGUUGGUGGGGUAACGGCCCACCAAGCCUUCGAUGGAUAGGGGUUCUGAGAGGAAGGUCCCCCACAUUGGAACUGAGACACGGUCCAA
rnacentral:rRNA from 1 species